GCGCGUACGAAGCAGCCCCCUGUUCAACGUCAUUCGUCUUUGUUUGUGUUGCUUUGUCAGGUGCCCGUGCUGUCGCUUGGCAAGAAUCAGAAGUUGUAAACAAACUGAAGCAAGCGGGAGCACGGGCGCAGCUGGGAACGAGAAUCCGUUCCAGCUGUGAAAAGACACCGAAGUUCUUUUUAGCGUACGGAAAAUGGAAGGAAGUUUCAUUUCGUUCAGCUCAGAAAACUGGUGCCCGUCACUCUUCAGCCGCUCGUUUCAACACCUGUCAAUCGCAAUUUUAUAGAGCGAAUGUCCAGUUUGGUGGAAACUGCGACUGGAAAUGUAAAUAAACAACUGCUGGUUGCCUAGUUUUUGGAAAUUUUGUUGUCAAAAGUGUGAGAGAAAAGUGCGGGCAAAAUCCAAGUUACAGUGCAAGGAUCAAUACAAGGGGUCAACUUUGGCUUUUUUUUCCAACAGUUCCUUUGUUCAUGUAAAAAUAAGUAUGCAGUAUUUUUUUUGUGAUAUUACAGACUAAGUAAAAGUAAGCGCAUUUUUUUACAACUUAAUUGAUAAUAGUAAUUCUAUAGCCAACAAUGUAGAGAACCAGCAAAAAUUCAAAAAGUUUACUUUUAAAUUAUUUUGACGAACAACAAAUAAAUCACUUGUAAGUUAUUUGGACGAAUAAGCCAAAUACUUUCAAAAUCAAACAUAAGCUAAAUCAAAUAAAUGCUAAUUGAAAUACUUAAAAAAAAACAUGAAGCAAUAGAAGAUUUUUUUUCCGAAGAGCAAAUGUUGCUCAAAACCUCCUAGAAAUACAAAAAAAAAAUGGGCAAAUCAUAAAUUAAACUUUUGAUGCAAAAAAAUUUACUAUAAAGAAUAAAUUUAGGAAUAUUAUUUAUCAAACUACAUGAAUCAAACGUAAAUCUCAUAAAUCAACAAUUUUACCGUCAAUUUGUAUGAUCUGAAAUUCAGCAAUGCAG